ACUGCCUAGAGAAUGCUAGUCAUUUAUAUGUUGAGAGGCUAUGUUCAAAGCUACUUUAAAAAAUUUUUUUUUUCUUUUAGAGAUGGGGUCUUGCUCCGGUCACCUAGGCUGGAGUGCAGUGGCGUGAUCACAGCUCACUGCAGCCUUGACCUCCCAAGGUGAAGCAAUCCUCCUGCCUCAGCCUCCCAAGCAGAGCUACUUUUUAAAGGACUUAGACUGCAUUGAGAUUUUAGUUGCUUUCAACUUUGAACAGAUCCGAACUUGAUCAACAUAAUCAAGCAUCACUCGAACAACCUUUCCAGAGAGAUGUUGCAGCCAUGACAAAGUUAUUACUUCACAGAACUGAGGGAAACAAAAUCAGAAUUAGGAAAGUAAAUGAAAAACACAAAGUAUCUAUGGUUUAGCAUAGUAGUCAAAGGAGAUGUGGUGUGAUGAAAGCCAAGAGAGAAAAAUGUCUCAAAAAUGGGAAGGGAUGGUAGUGGUCAACUGUACUUAUCCUGAUUCUU
rnacentral:lncRNA from 1 species